GCACAACAAGAGCAAAGGAAAAGGUAUGCCUCUAACUGUUGUCUGCUCUCUAAACAAAAGUCCCCAAGUUAUGGUAAAGGCUGUCGGUGCCUCCCUCUAUGAGUGAGAGGAAGGAUGAUGGUUAAUUACCAUGGUAUGUCUUCUUUUUGGUAAAACCACAGCAGUUUCUUUCUUCUGCAUGUUGCAAUAUGCUGUUCUUUUAAUUUAGGAACGAGCUCCAUCCUUUGUUUUCUGGUCUAUAGUUUAUGCUUCUUAACACAUAUCAGAUAUUUGGUUGAGAGAAUGUGAGAAAACACUUUACAUGUGAUGAUAAUGUAAUUUCAUAUUGUGUUGGUUCAGAAAAUAGGCCAUUGCAAUUGCUUUUUUUUGUUUUUCUCUCUCUCUCUAGAGGGUAUCAAAUCAAUUUGGUUUAGAUGCAUUAUAAAUAGAAAUGUGUUAGAUCAUGUAUGAUUGAUUUUACACGUGUUAUGCAUUGCAGGCACAGCAG
rnacentral:misc_RNA from 1 species